rnacentral:lncRNA from 1 species
CUGACUUUUAAUGCCUUAAAAAUACUGUCCAAGGUAGCUUUCCUUUUGAUUUAUCUUUAUGUAUAUUUUCACCAAAACUGCAGCCUUAAAAAUGCUUUCAAAGUCUCACGGAAUUGCCCUGAUAAGACAUAUUUUAGUUUCAGUUCAGUUACUCCAUUUUAUGUGUCACGUUUCCAAUUACUAUGCAAUAUCUACCUGAGAAUUCAACUACUCCACCUUAGAUGAAAGACCUCAAGUAUCUUUGAUAAGACUCUUCAGCAUACAAGAAACUUAUUUCAUUCAAUCUAUUCAACAAAUAUACAUUGAGCACCUGCCAUGUAAUAGGCAAUGUUCUGUGAGCCAAGUAUACAUGAAUAAAGAGCAGAUAUUCAAUAAGUGCCUCUGGAAAGUUAAGGCUUAUUUUUUUAAAUUCAAUCAUCUGAGUUGGAAGUGAUCUGAAUGGAGUAGAUGGGAGAAAGUGUUACACAUAAAAAACAAAUCCAAGAGUAAUGUCAAAUUUGAGGGAUUAAAUUGUUAUUUUCCCCUUAUAAGGAUUAAAAAAUUUUAAACCUACUUUAUUGAGGUUGUAAUAUUGGAUCACUUUGCAUCUAUUAGUAACUGAUAUGAAUUCGCUCCCCAAUCCAUAUCAUUUGUUCCCACUAAAAUCUCCUCUUGAAAUGUAAUCCCCAUAAUCUCCACGUGUCAUGGCGGGACCAAGUGGAGGUAAUCGAAUCACAGGGGCAGUUUCCUCUAUGUUGUUCUCAUGAUAAUGCGUGAGUCUUAUGAAUUGAGGCAUUAGGCUGUUUCCCUCUUUAUAUCUAGUUUAUUAGUAAUCUCUCUCAUAACACUGGGCAUUGCACUGAAACAAAUGUAAAGAUCUUAAUAAGAAGGGUAUAAAAUUUAGAGGGCCAGGGGUAGAAUUGCUAUAGUUUGGAUUAUUUGACUCCUCCAGACCUUAUGUUGAAAUCUGAUCCUCAAUGUUUUAGGUGGGGCCUAAAGGGAAGUGUUUGGAUCAUGGAGGUAGAUACUUCAUGAAUAGCUUGUUGCUAUCCUCACAGUAAUGAGCCCUCUUGCUGUAUUAAUUCCUGUAAGAGCUGGUUGCUAUAAAGAGCUUGGUACCUGCUCUCACCGCCUUGCUCUCUUGCUUUCUCUCUCACCGCGUGCUCUGUGCACAUGCCUGCUCCUCUUUGCCUUCUGUCAUGAGUGAGGACUGCCUGCAGCCUUCCCCAGAAGCAGAUGCUGGUGUCAUGCCUCUUGUAUAACCUGCCUAACUGUGAGCCAAAUAGAUCUCUUUUCUUUAGCAUUUACUCAGACUCCAGUUUUCCUUGACAGCAACACUGAAAGAACGAAGACAAUGGCUCUUCCAGAGGAAGAAAGAUUAUCCUGUCCUGGCUAUCUUGU